GUUCUUGUAGUUGAAUAACAACGGUGGUUUUUCAGGUCAUUGGUUCCGGUUAGAAUCCGGGCGAGAAUU
rnacentral:tRNA from 2 species